GAGAGAGAAGUAAGAAGAUUGUUAUGGACAUAAGAUAAUAAGAAGACACAAGAUAGAGAAUGGUUCAGAUAGUUGGGGUAGGGGUAAUUCUGUAUUAUGAAAAUAUCAACAGUAUCAAAAUUAGUCCUAGCAUAUUUUGCAAAUAUUGGUUUUUUUGUGUAUAUGGAGCCUAAUUUCUCUUAAUAAUAAGCCAACUAUAAAUAUGAAUUUUAUUUUUUUAAUUAUAACAAAAUCUGUUCUUACUAAAAAUUUAAAAAUAACACAUUAAUUAAUUUCGUAACUAGUAGUAUAAUAUUAUUAUUAUAAAUCAAUGUUAACUAAAAUUU
rnacentral:lncRNA from 1 species